GCUCGGUGCUGUUAGCCAGCCACUCAGCUAACGAUAGUCCAGCGCCCGCGCCUGCUCUGUCCCCCACCUCAGUGGGAGAGAUGCUGCCUCUUUGACUACAACUUCGAAUGAAGACGUCAACCACGGGUUCCUCGGCGUGGCUGGACUAGGCUUGCCUAGCCUUCCAACCUUUGUGGUGUUCAGUUACUUCAUCUUCUAUUUCAAGGUAGAUGCCUCAACAAGACGA